rnacentral:misc_RNA from 1 species
UUUGUGACAUAUAAUUGGCAUA